rnacentral:lncRNA from 1 species
CGCUGUUUUUGUCUGCUCUGCUCAGACUGCAAAUGGUUAUGCAAAUUCCUGAAUAUUUUCCUACUUCCUUUUUCAGAUGUCUAACAUUAUGUAUUAUUUUCUGAUACUUACCUAAACCGGGAAAUCUGUUUUCCAUCUCAUUUCAGCCAAGGUUUUCUUUCUAACCAGCCCUCCCCAGCAUUUUCCUUUAACACUUCGGGUUUGCUGAGUGAACUUUGCAAUAUGAGGAUAAAUGAAAGUGAAAAUGCAUUGCUUGUCACAUACUUGCUGUUUAGAGAGGGUUUGUUUUUUUUCCCCUCUGGAUUUGAAGAGAGAGAUAUAAAUCAUUGCUUUAAAAACAGGGUAAUUUAACAAGAUUAUAGGAGAGAGAAAAUCCACUUCCUACCCAAAGUAACAGUCUCUUAGCUUUCUCCACCUACACAAGCCAUAUGCAUCCUCCGAGCCGCCUGAGAUCCUCUUUUGUGUUUUUCUGGCAGGAGAGUGGUAUCAUAAUUAAAGUCCAUAUGCAACGCUUUCUCUGUGGAGCCCACACUGGUCUUUUAAUUACUCUGUAUUCGGUCAGAGCGUCGCCAUCUCUCGGCCCCCAGCCUGCUCUGCUGUGUUUGAGAGGUCCCAGAGCCGAAGGGAGGUUAGGAGCUCCAAGUCCCGGCUCAGAGGCUUUUGCUGCAGCGUUGCUUUUGUUAUCAUCUCCCUUUUUAACAGCAGAGCCGAUGGUACCAUUCUACAUAUUAAGGAGCAGUGUGAGCUGGAGUCGUUCUGUCCCUCGGUAGGGGUGUGUUAAAGAUGUGGUGCUUCGAGCAGCCGCAGCAGCACCACCUGAGCAGACACUGCACAAAACUCUGCUGAACUCUCACAGCCAGCUGUUGUGGUUGCUCUUCUUGCUUGGAUCUGGGCUCCCCACCAGGCACAGGACCUGCAAUCGAGGGUGCUUUCACUGCUGUAACAAACGUCACAUGUGCAUUGGAUGCGAGGAGCCAGAACUCCAAAAUAAUUCUUCUGAAUCAAACUUCGGCAUCGCGGUGGUUCUCAGCUGACCCAUAAUGUGUCCCAGGCCUUCCCAGUGCUGAGCUGCAGGAUGGGCUUCCAGUAAUGAGUUCUCAAUGAAGUGUUUUUCUAAUUAUAGCAAAUUAUUUUUACAAACAUUUUCCUGGGAAGAGAGUCUGAAAUUAGAGCCAAAAAGGUGGAAGGCUGAGAGGUAGGCAGUGCCUGAAAUAAAACAUUGACUGCAUGCUAAUUUUUCCUUAUUACUAUCAGGUCAGAUAGUUCUUCAAAUGCAGAACAACACAUUUCCGAGCUCCUCAGAUAAAGCUGAUGAGUGCUGCUGGAAGACUAUGACUGUUGGUUUGUGCACUACUGGCCCUCAAGCUUCAUGUUAAUGAGUUGUCAUGAACUCCGUUCAAACACAGCCGGCUCGUGGCUUUGUAAGGCUGGAGCAGCCCUGAAUGGGGACACCCCUCUGCUGCCACCCUGCAGUGCAGGGCUGCCUGGCACGGAGCUGGGGCUGCUCCCAGAGCCAGGACAGAGAAUAGCUCCCGGCCUGAGGGCUGCAGGUCAGCCUGCCCCAAUGGGAAGGAUGUCAGAUCUGCUUUCCCAUCUCAGUGUUGCAACCUAUCUAAAUGUCACGACUUCUGCUCUUUUUCUGGAGCAAACUUACUUUCCUGUUUGCAGAUGUUCUUAGGUUUUUUUGGGGGGGAAAAGCGAGCUAUUAUUAGCAAUCACUAACAAAAUCCACCUUUGGAUUUUGGUGUAAAAAUCCACCUCUGGAGGUACUGUGCCAUAGAAAUGCAAAGUUCAUAUCAAUGUAGGCAGCUUGGCUGCUCGGUGCUGCUGCUUUCCAGAAGAGGUUUCCAGCCUGCUGGUGCUGCAGAGUGCUGUGUGUGUGCCAUUCCCAUGGCUCCUACGAUCAGCUGGAUAGUUUAAUUAAAGUUAAUCAUGGAAAGAUCCAUGACACUUGGAUAUAGGUGGGGUGGGCUAAGUAUAGCCGGUUAAUUGCCUUACUGCCAACCUGACUGUAGGCUAUUGUUCACCAGAAAGGAGUUAGUUAAUUUUUUCUGCAACAAAACAAAACAAAACAAAACAAAAAAUCCUCCCCAGAUCCCAGAGCCCAGCCCAGCAGCCGGGCUCACCUCAGCUCAGCCAUUGGCACUGCAGUGUGGUCGGUGGGGUUGGUGGAGGGCUCCGCAGGUUGUCCAAAUGGGAGUUGUUGGUACCACAUGUAGGGCACAGAGCAGAGGUGGUCUGGGAAGGAAUGCGGGCAAUGAAUGUUGUAUGGCGUGCAUAGCUGCUUCGUGAGGAAUUUGAGAUUAAACUGCCCUGGGUGGUGGAUACUCAUCUGGAUGCCCGUAGUGACCGCGCUGUCUGAGCGGACUCCUCCGAGCUCGCCCUGGUUGCUCUCAUGAAGCACCUAAGGGUUAAAGACGGAUUGCUGCCCUCUCCCCCCACCCGUAAAGCGCGCCCAGCGCCGCGUGCUCCCCGGCUCCAAGGAUCAGCCCCAGUGCCGGCAUCAGCUGCAGAUCAUUGCUCACCCCGAUCCCCCUCUGCCCGCUGUUCACCUUACAGCCAUGUCUGUCCAUGCAGCCCCGAUGUCCCUUCCCGGUGGCAGCGGAGCAGUGGGUCGCGCCGCGCCUGUGCUGGCGAUCAGCGAUCAGCCAAGGCAGAGAGCUCUGUCCCUGAAUGCGCAUUGUUCUCACAGAUCCCAGCACCAGAGGGGAGAAUAGUUGAACUGUUUACAAUAUUGUUUCAUAGACUGCUAAAAAGUGGCCGUCUGUUUUUCAGAAGUGCAAUGAAACAUUUAUGAGUGCGGGACUUCCUCCAGCCCCGCUGCGGAGCACUGGCUGCCCUGUGCCCCAUGCUGCUGGCUGAGGGGCGGUGGGAUACACACACCUCACUGCUCCCACCCUUCUCCUGCAGGGCUGUUCCAGGUGCCUGGUUUGCAGGCACAGAGCCGUGGCACCUGGCGGGACUGCUUCAGAGCUACAAAGUGCUCCUGCUGCCUCUGCCUGUGACAAUUCAUGUGAGCCAUCCUCCAUCCAUGCAGGGAGGGUGGUGAGGUGCUGGCAGUGCUGUCCAGAGCUGUGCUGCCCCAUCCCUGGAGAUGCCCAAGGCCAUGGAUGGGCCCUGGUCAGCCUGAGCUGGGGGGCAACCAGCCCAUGUUGGGGGUGGGGCUGGGGGUGCUGCAAGGGCCCUUCCAACCUGGGUUGGAUUCGGAUGAUGCCUUCCAACCCAGGCCAUUCUAUGACUCUAUCAUCUGCCUCCGUAAGUUUACAGCUCCGUGUUGGUUAUUUCCAGCACCACAGGCAGUUCUUCACGUGGGAGUUGCAGCAGGUCCUUCCAAAGAGUGACAUGUUUUUUUCCCAUGAAGAGACUUCAACACAGGAUCACUCCGUAGCUCAUUAAGGUCAUUACAAAUGUUUAUUUUUAGGCAGAUGGAUGCUUUAACCAGAAUUGUAAUCCGGUCGUAGCUAAGUGCAGGAACAAGUCAGAAUUUGGGUUUUACUGUAAUGGUUAUGAAUGUUUCACUGUGUCUUCAGCAUAAGGGAUCCCAUUGUGCAUAUUUAGGAUGUCUGCAGCUUUUACGUGGUUUCGUCUACAUUUCUCAGGAUUUAAUAUUUGAAGUUCCUUCUAGGGAUGUAUUAGAGGAAAAGCUGGAUUUGAACUCCAGUCAGAAAGUUUUCACAUAUUCAGAAUUACACAGUGCUUAUAAAAGCAGUUCGCUUCUGUGGGGUAUGGUUAAUCCAUCUAUCUCCUGGCAUGGGGCACUCAUCCCAUUCCACAGGGCUGGGAUGGGAGCGGGGCCGUGGUUAGCGUCCUCCCAGCCACCCGGGGCUGUCCAGCCUAAGCCCUUCCUUCCUGCCCCGAGUGGAAUUAUCAUUAACUCAUAACUUGUUUUCAAGAAGAACAUUUUUUUUUUUUGUAGACUGUGGAGUUCUUCCAAGAAUUUUUCAAUUUCCACAGAUGAAAAUAUAGUCUAAACCAGAUGCCAGCUGAAACGCACUCACUUCGUACCACCUCGCCAAGGCAGCGCGCCACGGGCUCAGCAAUGUGACCUUUAAAAUGGCCUUUCUAGAACACACUGCUAAGAGCACUUUCUAAAAAGCCACAAUUGCAGCUACUCUUAUUACUCAUAAUGUCUUUGAUGGAGAGGAAUACUCAGGGAACUUCAGCUUCAGCAACCCGGUAGAGUCAGUUCUGUGCAGCGGAGGCUUCCUUCGUGGCAUUACAGACUUGAGACCACGAUGAGAGCGUUGGUGAUAAUGAACAUUUCCUAAAGCAUUACUUGUAUAAGAUUAAAAUGAAAUAAAAGCAGUGAAACCUUUGCUUUGCCCAUGUGAAAGAAUGGCUCUGCCACUUAGCCAUUCGUUCCUAGAAGUGGAUAUGUAUACCUGUGCCUUCUCCAUGUAUUUGUAAGUCUAACAAAUAUUAUACACACAAAUAUACACCAAUGUUAUGCAAAAUGCAUUCAGGCAAUGUAUUUCAAAUCAAUGAAUAUUUUGAGUCAUCAGCCUAAAUGGUGUUUGUAGAUGCAUAAUUGCAUGCUACUUUCUGGGAUUUUUUGUAGUAUUCUGAGUGGCGCUGAGCCGCCACUUCAUUAAAACUGUCCCUUGGGAUCCAAUUCUUUGGGUUUGUUUUUGCAUGUGCCAGGAAAUUUGGACCCUGAUUUCUGUAUGGCCACCACUGCCAUGCUGGUGCACUGCCGGCCGGCGGCACUGUGUGGCACUGCAUGGCCCUGGUGGGCACAGGGAGCAGAAUAACAUGAGAUCCAGUUUGCUUUGGUCAGUCUGGGAGAGACUUCACAGCAGCAGUGAUGGGACACUUUAGAGUUGGCUGAGUGGAGUUUUCCUAUCAUUUCUGAACCUUCUGUCCUUAAACUGAUUCAACUAAAUAUGUGACAUUUUGAGGAAAACUUGCCCUGUGUCUUUAGCUUCUUUCAUACCAGACAGGGUGGGAACAAGAUAAGUUUGCUUAAAAGCCUUUGUUUUCACUCACUUCUCUACUUGCUUGGUGUCCCAACACACUGGUAUUCAGAUUUGUCACCUCACAGGGCCUUGGUUCUGCCAGAACUCCUGCCUCUGGCUACCAGCAGUGGGAUAUUGAAGGGUUUGAGCUGCUGUCAUCAAGCAGCAACAAACUUACUGCUUUAAUCAGCUCCUUUCCAUGCGAGAUACAACUUGCUGAGCUCCGUGGUUCCUAGAGGUAAUGCCUCAUUUCCAAAAACUCCUGUUUCUGACCAUUGCUGUGGUUUCCCUGGAGUGGGACAGCCAUCCUUGCUCAGUCCCUGCCCCAUCAUUGCCCUGCCCAGCAAUACAGGGCCAGAAGCCCCACUCCCACUUCUCCUUGCACAGCCUUUGGUGGCUCAUGGGACUGCGCUGGCACUGCUGCUCUGUGCCAUGUGGUGACAGGGCUGUUAUUCCAGAGCAACCGGAUGGGGACCACCAAUUUAGUUCUCACAGACCAUGGCUUCUGGCUCUUCGAGAGCAUUGUUUUGACACUGGCAGGAAAAAAUUAGGCCAUUGUCUUUGCUCCCAUGAAAUUUCCUGUCCUCUCUUUAUGAGGUGUGUGGCUGCACAAAGUGCCUUUCUGCUCCCGCAGCAGCGAAUCUUGACACCCACAGCUUGGGCUGGUGUCCCAGGGUGGGUUUUCUUUCCGGGUUGAUUUGGGAUUUUUGCCCACGGAAAAUGAAUGAAUGAACAAAUAAUUUGCAGCUGUCCGAAUGGCCGUAACAUCUCCGCGCUCUGCCCAGAGCUCUGGAAAUGGAUAUCAGAGCUGCUCAGGGCUUUGAUGCAGUCUCUGCACCUGGGCUAUGCUCUGGGUCUGGCAUAUCCCCG